GGUGGCUCAGUGGUAGAGUGCUUGCCUCACAUGCAUGAGGACAUGAGUUCGAUUCCUCAGCACCA
rnacentral:tRNA from 1 species